UACCUCUCUUGGGCCAAUUUCUGUCACUGA
rnacentral:piRNA from 1 species